GGAAAUUAAGAAACUGUUUUUUAACUUUUAACUAAAAAAGCUAAGAACCGGUUCUUAGCUUUUUUAUUUAAAAGUUAAGAAACAGUUUCUUAACUUCC
rfam:Brassica oleracea var. oleracea cultivar TO1000 chromosome C7, whole genome shotgun sequence